UGAGGCUUGACUUGACUUGACACAAAAGUAACUCGGCUUCUUUAGAAACAGUUUUUGUAAGACUAGGUUAUUGCAUUAACUCCUAAUUUUUUUUAAAUAAUAAAAUACUUUUAGUAGCAAAGAAACACCCCUGCUCACUGGUGUUACACUUCAGUCCUCAGCAUAAAUCUAGAUGACAUGGAGAUCAGAGCUCUCUGCAUCAGACUGUUGAUGAGCAUCAUGAUACUGCUGAGUGUACAGGAUCAGAAAGUCAAUGCAGUUUCUCUGCGUGUUGUUCCAAACAGAUUGCAGUUCUUUGAAUAUGAAUCAGUGACAUUUUAUUGUGAAGGAG